rnacentral:rRNA from 1 species
GACGUAGGUGGCAAGCGUUAUUCGGAAUUAUUGGGCGUAAAGCGUGCGUAGGUGGUUUCUUAAGUCUGAUGUGAAAGCCCAUGGCUCAACCAUGGAGGGUCAUUGGAAACUGGGAAGCUUGAGUACGAAAGAGGAGAGUGGAAUUCCCGUGUAGCGGUGAAAUGCGUAGAGAUGUGGAGGAACACCAGUGGCGAAGGCGACUCUCUGGUUCGAUACUGACACUGAGGCACGAAAGCGUGGGGAGCAAACAGG